CUGUAAGGCUGGGAUCACGCCCUGAGCCGAACCGCUGUGCCACCCAGGCGCCCCAGGCAGUUGCUGUUUGUGUCCUGGUCCGGGCUGGAGAAUCUGAAGAAGAGAGACCUCCUUUCUUCCCAGGGGGACCGGGAUCAGUUUCAAGUCCUGCCCAGCUGUGCGACAGAGAGAAAGAGACAGAGAGACAGUACAAGCAGGGGGAGCAGCAGAGGGAGAGGG